GAUGAACGCUGGCGGCGUGCCUAAUACAUGCAAGUCGAGCGAACAGACGAGGAGCUUGCUCCUCUGACGUUAGCGGCGGACGGGUGAGUAACACGUGGAUAACCUACCUAUAAGACUGGGAUAACUUCGGGAAACCGGAGCUAAUACCGGAUAAUAUAUUGAACCGCAUGGUUCAAUAGUGAAAGACGGUUUUGCUGUCACUUAUAGAUGGAUCCGCGCCGCAUUAGCUAGUUGGUAAGGUAACGGCUUACCAAGGCAACGAUGCGUAGCCGACCUGAGAGGGUGAUCGGCCACACUGGAACUGAGACACGGUCCAGACUCCUACGGGAGGCAGCAGUAGGGAAUCUGCCGCAAUGGGCGAAAGCCUGACGGAGCAACGCCGCGUGAGUGAUGAAGGUCUUCGGAUCGUAAAACUCUGUUAUUAGGGAAGAACAAAUGUGUAAGUAACUAUGCACGUCUUGACGGUACCGAAUCAGAAAGCCACGGCUAACUACGU
rnacentral:rRNA from 1 species